rnacentral:rRNA from 1 species
UGAGGAAUUUUCCACAAUGGGCGAAAGCCUGAUGGAGCAAUACCGCGUGAAGGAAGAAGGCCCGUGGGUCGUAAACUUCUUUUCUUAGAGAAGACAGCCGACGGUAUCUAAGGAAUAAGCACCGGCUAACUCCGUGCCAGCAGCCGCGGUAAUACGGAGGGUGCAAGCGUUGUCCGGAAUGAUUGGGCGUAAAGCGUUCGUAGGUGGUUCUUAAAGUCUACUGUCAAAUCCCAGAGCUCAACUUUGGACAGGCAGUAGAGAACUCAAGAGCUAGAGGACGGUAGGGGUAGAGGGAAUUCCUAGUUAAGCGGUGAAAUGCACAGAGAUUAGGAAGAACACCAGUGGCGAAAGCGCUCUACUGGGCCGUUGCUGACACUGAGGGACGACAGCUGUGGGAGCG